CCGAGGGACAUGGCGGUUCCGCGCGGCCGGGACCUGGACGGUGGCUCCGAGGGACCAGAAAACCUCGUCCCCACCCUCCACCCCGUUUCGCGCGCGUCCUCAAGUUCACGGGAGUACGCAAGAAAACGACAGAAGCAAGAAACCUCCCUCCCCUGACCGGUUUGCAAUACCCUCUUAGGAUUGUUCAGAAAUAUGGCGAAAGAUUUGGAGGCAACCACAGGAGUUGGAAGAACUGGGAGAUGGGGGCCCGAGCCAGGGGCUCUGAGAUUUUGUCGUGGCCAUUCCUCACCCCUCAAAAACCGCCGGGGGCGGGAAGAAUGGAGGCGGGAUGAAGACAAAUUAAGUUGAAGAACCCCGGGCUCUCGAGACUUGCCAGGUCACCCAUAGCUCCCUUGCACUCUGCUUCCUGGUAGGCUCAGCCAGUUGCAAGUACUGACAGGAGAUUGGAAGGUGGAGGAAAGGAGAAGCGAGGGCCUGUG